GUAAAACUGGUUUGGCUUCAUGUUUCAGUUUUGAGUUUCUGCAGGUGGAGACUUGGCCAUCCUCCAGUCAAACUAUACAUAUUUUCUGCUGCAUGUGUUCCGCCUGUGAAGGAACGCUACCGUGGCACAGGACCAAAGACACCUCCAGUCCAACCAGUUUUCUCCGGUCGAGCUUUAAAGAGCGAAGCGGCACGGACUCCUGUGAGUUCAGUUUGUGAUGUUGGAGGAUAAACUGAGGUCCAGACUCCAGCUGAGGCACUCAUGCAGCUGCAGAUGUCAGAAUGAGGCUGUGUGACGGAUACGAGCACGACGGGCAGACAGCUGCAGCACCCAGCUGCGCCACAGGGAGGCGCCGCUCGCUGCCUGCAGGUCAUAACCAGCUGAUCGACUACCUGGACAUUAAGUCGGCCAUUUAUCUGCUGAUGUCACACAAUCAGAACCCGGAGCUGAUCAAGAUGCAGCCUGCAGUGAAGCUGGUGUGUGUGAGGACCAGCAGUAAGGGACCAGUUCCAUACUUUUAGUCCGUCCUGUGGCUCACAGUGAGUCCUCCUCUCACUGAUCACACCGUUCUUCGUUUUUAACCACAAAUGUCUUCCACGGGUUACCAUGCUGUCGCCAUGGAGACGGAGGGAGAGGCCGCUCCACCUUGUAUUCAAAGUCGAGCUCUGCUGGAAACAGGAGGAGCUUCCGUUAACAAAAAUGAAACUAGAAUGAGGUGUCAGGACUGUGCAGCCUGAGAACAAGUCAAACCACCAGGAGGCGCUGCACAACCAAAGUCUAAACUCUACAGGUUUCCUCUCUAAAAUGGAACUACUCUGUUUUUCUGUAUUCUGCACGUCAUAACACACACACACACACACAGCAGUGGUGGGAUGUAAAGUGUCUAUUUAUACGUCUUUUUACUUACGGACCGAUAACAGGGCAGACUUCAGAUUUCCCUCCAUGACACGUGGCAGCUGUGAUCUGUACUUUCUGCUCCUCUGCAUUUCCAGUGUUUGUUGUUACAUUUUAUGAACAGGUUCUCCAACAUGUCUCCUCCAGCUACACUAAAAUCUGGAUGGUGUUUCUGUCUCUGAGGUUUGAACCAAUCAGGGCUGUGUGAAGUAUGUGCAGGGAGUUCCGAGCUUCAGGACCUGCUGCAGUCAUUUUUGGGUUAUUUAUAAUGAAACUGAUUUUAUAACUAAUAGUGUGGUUAAAGAGAAGCUUGUAAGUGCUCUGUGGCUUCUGUUGUGUAGUCAUAUAAAGUCUGUUGUGUAGUCAUAUAAAGUCUGUUGUGUAGUCAUAUAAAGUGUUGUCAUGCUGAUGCACACACACACACACACACACACACACACACACACACACACACACACAUCUGUAUGGCCUGUAUCUGUGCAUCC
rnacentral:lncRNA from 1 species